rnacentral:rRNA from 1 species
AGAACGAACGCUGGCGGCAUGCCUAACACAUGCAAGUCGAACGAGACCUUCGGGUCUAGUGGCGCACGGGUGCGUAACGCGUGGGAACCUGCCUUUAGGUUCGGAAUAACUCAGAGAAAUUUGAGCUAAUACCGGAUAAUGUCUUCGGACCAAAGAUUUAUCGCCUUUAGAUGGGCCCGCGUAGGAUUAGCUAGUUGGUGGGGUAAUGGCCUACCAAGGCGACGAUCCUUAGCUGGUCUGAGAGGAUGAUCAGCCACACUGGGACUGAGACACGGCCCAGACUCCUACGGGAGGCAGCAGUGGGGAAUAUUGGACAAUGGGCGAAAGCCUGAUCCAGCAAUGCCGCGUGAGUGAUGAAGGCCUUAGGGUUGUAAAGCUCUUUACCCGGAAGUAUAAUGACUGUACCGGGAGAAGUAAGCCCGGCUAACUCCGUGCCAGCAGCCGC